rnacentral:misc_RNA from 1 species
AAUGAUGGCAGUCGGAGACCUAGAGCCCUUGAACAAAGGGACGAUGCAUUGCAAUGUUUGGAGCAAUGUCUAGAGCAACAAAGGGACCACAAAAUUCGGGCGUUUGGAAAGAUGUCUAAAGAAAUUGUUGACCAUCUCGAGGCUGUAGAAACCAAUGCAAACAGGGAUCGGGUGGAUGAUAGAAGGCCAAGGGAUAAUGCAGCCCGUGGGUGACCCUAUUGAACUGCCAAUUACUACACAAAGACACCCCGUCUACGAUGAGGACUUGGAGGAAGAUGAUUAUGAAUUCCAUGAUUUCCCUAGAUACCAAUGGCAAGGAGAGUAUGGGAGAGAGGUGCUUAUGGUUACGAUGAGUGGGC